rnacentral:rRNA from 1 species
AUACCAGCGGCCCUAGUGGUGAUCGUUAUUAUUGGGCCUAAAGCGUCCGUAGCCGGUCCGGUAAAUCUCUGGGUAAAUCGUUGGGCUUAACUCAGCGAAUUCUGGGGAGACUGCUGGACUUGGGACCGGGAGAGGUCGGAGGUACUCCAGGGGUAGGGGUGAAAUCCUGUAAUCCAUGGGGGACCACCAGUGGCGAAGGCGGUUGUCGAGAACGUGCCCGACGGUGAGGGACGAAACCCAGGGGAGCAAAUCGGAUUAGAUACCCGUGUAGUCC